GAUGAACGCUGGCGGCGUGCCUAAUACAUGCCAGUCGAGCGAACAGAUGAGGAGCUUGCUCCUCUGACGUUAGCGGCGGACGGGUGAGUAACACGUGGAUAACCUACCUAUAAGACUGGGAUAACUUCGGGAAACCGGAGCUAAUACCGGAUAAUAUAUUGAACCGCAUGGUUCAAUAGUGAAAGACGGUUUUGCUGUCACUUAUAGAUGGAUCCGCGCCGCAUUAGCUAGUUGGUAAGGUAACGGCUUACCAAGGCAACGAUGCGUAGCCGACCUGAGAGAGUGAUCGGCCACACUGGAACUGAGACACGGUCCAGACUCCUACGGGAGGCAGCAGUAGGGAAUCUUCCGCAAUGGGCGAAAGCCUGACGGAGCAACGCCGCGUGAGUGAUGAAGGUCUUCGGAUCGUAAAACUCUGUUAUUAGGGAAGAACAAAUGUGUAAGUAACUAUGCACGUCUUGACGGUACCUAAUCAGAAAGCCACGGCUAACUACGUG
rnacentral:rRNA from 1 species